AGAGUUUGAUCCUGGCUCAGAUUGAACGUUGGCGGCAGGCCUAACACAUGCAAGUCGAACGGUAACAGCAGGAGCUUGCUCCUGGCUGACGAGUGGCGGACGGGUGAGUAACGCGUAGGAAUCUACCCAGUAGCGGGGGACAACCCGAGGAAACUCGGGCUAAUACCGCACGCUCUACGGAGUAAAGAAGGCCUCUAUUUAUAAGCUUUCACUAUUGGAGGAGCCUGCGUCGGAUUAGCUAGUUGGUGGGGUAAAGGCCCACCAAGGCAACGAUCCGUAGCUGGUCUGAGAGGACGACCAGCCACACUGGAACUGAGACACGGUCCAGACUCCUACGGGAGGCAGCAGUGGGGAAUCUUGGACAAUGGGCGCAAGCCUGAUCCAGCCAUGCCGCGUGUGUGAAGAAGGCCUUAGGGUGUAAAGCACUUUCAGUGGUGAAGAAAUGCUUAGGGUUAAUAACCCUCGAGUCUUGACGUUAACCACAGAAGAAGCACCGGCUAACUCCGUGCCAGCAGCCGCGGUAAUACGGAGGGUGCGAACGUUAAUCGGAAUUACUGGGCGUAAAGCGCACGUAGGUGGUUCGCUAAGUGGGAUGUGAAAGCCCCGGGCUCAACCUUGGGAAUUGCAUUCCAAACUGGCAGACUAGAGUGCAGUAGAGGGAGGUAGAAUUUCCUGUGUAGCGGUGAAAUGCUUAGAUAUAGGAAGGAAUACCAGUGGCGAAGGCGUCCUCUCUGGAUCGAUACUGACGCUGAGGUGCGAAAGCGUGGGGAGCAAACAGGAUUAGAUACCCUGGUAGUCCCACGCCGUAAACGAUGAGAACUAGCCGUUGGGCCCCUUGAGGGUUUAGUGGCGAAGCUAACGCGAUAAGUUCUCCGCCUGGGGAGUACGGCCGCAAGGCUAAAACUCAAAUGAAUUGACGGGGGCCCGCACAAGCGGUGGAGCAUGUUGUUUAAUUCGAUGCAACGCGAAGAACCUUACCACCCCUUGACAUCCUCAGAAUUUGUCAGAGAUGACUUAGUGCCUUCGGGAACUGAGUGACAGGUGCUGCAUGGCUGUCGUCAGCUCGUGUCGUGAGAUGUUGGGUUAAGUCCCGUAACGAGCGCAACCCUUGUCCUUACUUGCCAGCGGGUUAUGCCGGGAACUUUAAGGAGACUGCCGGUGACAAACCGGAGGAAGGUGGGGAUGACGUCAAGUCAUCAUGGCCCUCACGGGGUGGGCUACAAACGUGCUACAAUGGGAAGUACAAAGGGCUGCAAUCCCGCGAGGGGGAGCGAAUCCCAAAAAACUUUUCGUAGUCCGGAUAGGAGUCUGCAACUCGACUCCUUGAAGUCGGAAUCGCUAGUAAUCGCGAAUCAGAAUGUCGCGGUGAAUACGUUCCCGGGCCUUGUACACACCGCCCGUCACGUCAUGGAAGUGGGUUGCACCAGAAGUAGCUAGUCUAACCUUCGGGACGACGGUUACCACGGUGUGAUUCAUGACUGGGACGAAGUCGUAACAAGGUAACC
rnacentral:rRNA from 1 species